rnacentral:rRNA from 1 species
AUUGAACGCUGGCGGCAGGCCUAACACAUGCAAGUCGAGCGAGCGGCGGACGGGGGAGGAAUGUCUGGGAAACUGCCCGAUGGAGGGGGAUAACUACUGGAAACGGUAGCUAAUACCGCAUACCAUCAGAUGUACCCAUAUGGGAUUGGCUAGGAGGUGAGGUAAUGGCUCACCUGGGCGACGAUCCCUAGCUGGUCUGAGAGGAUGAUCAGCCACACUGGAACUGAGACACGGCCCAGACUCCUACGGGAGGCAGCAGUGGGGAAUAUUGCACAAUGGGCGCAAGCCUGAUGCAGCCAUGCCGCGUGUAUGAAGAAGGCCUUAGGGUUGUAAAGUACUUUCAGUAGGGAGGCGUUACCGACAGAAGAAGCACCGGCUAACUCCGUGCCAGCAGCCGCGGUAAUAC